UCAGAUCAUCACAAUAUACAAUCAUGUGUGCUUGGCUUGUCCAUAAUUGCUUGAGCCAAGAAAUGGGCCUCAACCACUAAUUAUCCUUAUAUCGAAUGCUUACACAGAUGCAUUGAGGUCAGAAAGCCUCGAGCUUGUGCAACCCAGCUCUCUUACAAUCUAACACAGGCCUGGAUAGAAGGUGUGUAAUGUCCAAGCUUUCCAUCAGGUGGUUCCCCACUUCUUGAUGCCACGGUCCAAAAAUCAGGCAAGUCCACUCCAUAUGCUUAUUCAAAGUGGAAGUAACUAUAGAGUGUAGGCUCAGGGGUCCACAAUGCAUACAUGGAUGCAUGAUCAAAGCUACUCAUCAGUUUUAUCCUUGAAGAAAAAAGGGAUGAAAAAUCUGUCCACAUAUUUAUAAAAAAAAAUUCCAUAGCUAUUCUCCUCCAUCUGCUAGCUACAGGUAUUUAUUGGUUCCUUUUAUUUUAUAUCAAAUUUGUUUUUUGGUUAUUUUAUUUUGUUUUGUAAACUUUUGUCUUUGCAUUGGUAAUAGAGGGGGGCUUUGCUGCUUCAUAUGGGGAUGGAUAUGGACUUCAUUCGGGUGGUGUUGACAAAGGUCCUCUAUAUGGCAUGAGUUCUCUUGUUCUUGGGGUGCAUUUGAGAAGUCUCACCUUGGGCGUCGCUGAAGUCCGUUGAUUUUUAUUUUUUUUUUUUCCUUCUGCUUUUCCUUGUGUCUCAAUCUGUAAAUUUUUUGUCCAUUAUGUAAGCUUUCCUUCUCAGGCCCC